rnacentral:rRNA from 1 species
AUGCUCUCGGAGUCGGCUGACUCGGUGUUUUGGCCACUUUCGGCCUCUGGUAAUUUUUCUGUUAAGUCGUUGUAUUCUAGUCUCAUUGGUGGUACCCCCUCGGCUAGAUUCUCUUGUAUCUGGAAAUCAAGGGUUCCUUCGAAAAUUAAGAUUUUCCUCUGGCAGACCUUUCGUGGUCGCCUCCCUACUGCUGAUCAGAUCAAAAAACGCAAUGGGCCGGGCUCUGAAUUCUGUAACCUGUGUGGGGCCUUGGAAAAUUCCGACCACAUCUUUUUCAACUGUGUACUUGCCAAAUUAGUCUGGUCUUGCGUCAGAUCUUGGCUUCGGGUUUCUUGGAAUCCCUCCUCUUUUUCUGAUAUUAGAACUCUAGCUAAAACUUUGGUCGGGGUCACCAAGAGGGUAUUUUGGGUUGGCUUGGGAGCCUUAUGCUGGGCCUUAUGGAAUAUUAGAAACAAAUUUACUAUUGAGCUUACCUUCCCAUCUAAACCUGCUGAUGUUCUAUUCAAAUCAUGUAUAUUCUUGCAGUAG